CACAUGGGCUGGGUUGGGUUGGUUUUAACCAUUUAGGUAACCCAACCCAUUUAGUUCGGGUCACAAAAAAAUAACCCAUUAAUAUCAAAAAAAUCCUACAACCCAACCCUACUACUUAUGCGAUGGGUUGGGUCGGGUUGGUUUGGGUUGAAUGGGUUGAGCAAGCAAAAAAGUUUUCAUAACAAUUAUAUUUUCACAAGUUAAGUAGCUAACAUUGACUCUAGGUGAAAUAAAGUCCUACAAGUUAAAGAAAAGAGAAAGUCCAUACUGCAAGUUAAAAGAAAGAAGUGCUGCUAAUAACCGGUAUUAGUAGUCUGUUAAUCAAAUAUCAAAACAUAAAGAUCU
rnacentral:lncRNA from 1 species